CAGGUACAGGAUCUACAACGUACGUCACGAGUCACGUGAUAUUUGUAAGUUUCCAGCCGCCAUUUCUGGAAUUUCGAAGCGAACAAAGAUGUGGAAAGGAUGAGGAGAAAAAAAUCCUAAUUCGAGAAACCAAGGUCAACAAGUCGAAGACAAAAAUUGACAGACAAAAAGAAAGGCCUAGAAAAAACAAUAUAAUUGUGAAAAGCACCUACACAGUGGAAAAAGAAAGAGAAAUCGGGUCUAGGCCAAAAAUCAAAACGUUACAUCCAACAUCGCGAUCAACUCCAACCAGGUCACCAUUUUGUAAAAAAAAAAAAAUUCUACACCAUCCCCAUAUAUUAAAGUAGAUGAUGAAUUCUGGGCAAAUGAUUGUGAUACAUCCCAUAAUGCAUUAGGGAGCUAUCUUACAAAAGACUUAGAUGUAAACGAAAUUACUGAAACUAACAGUUUACAUGAAAGCAAAGUUGUUGAAGAACUUCGUAAAGGAGGACUUGAAGAUACUGUGCUGCAGGUCUUUCAACGAUACAGUUUUGAUCCCGUAUUUACAGUUUGAUGAAGAUUUCCAUAUCGGCUAUUUUUUUGCCUGAUUUAAUCAAAUAUGUAAUAAAAAAAUAUACCUCUA